rnacentral:lncRNA from 1 species
UGCUGAUUGGCUCAGUAACUAUAACAUCAGUCUGUUUGCUCUCCUGCUACUUAGGGGAUUUUCACCUAUCACUGGGGAUCUCAGCAAUGUAACUCCCGUGAGAGGAAAACUCUCUAACAAUGGAACAUCAAGGAGCAUCAGAGACUAGCAAAGCAUCCUGGGAACUCCAGUGAGCAAAGACAAGAGCUCUCAGCAGGCAAGAAGGGCUCCCGAUUCUGGAAGAAGAUUUUGCUCUUCCAUUUGGAAUGGCAGUACCUGCACAUCCCUGGGACCCAGCUUCCUGGCCACUGCUGCAGCCUCCUGUCCGACAUCCUGGAGAAAUGCUGCUCACAGGCUGAGGUUUUCACCAGAAGGAGAACUGUACCUAUAACCUCUGUCAUGUGGAAGAGAUACCUGUAUAAUGAAAAUCAUGAAAAAGUGAAGAAUUCAAUGAAGUAUGGGGAGGCACAUGAACAAAUGUAGAACCAGGAAAAUGAUAUGCACAAUGACUAUAACAAUAUAAAUGAAAAGAACAACAUUAAAAAAAUUGAAAAUGAACCUUGAGUCAUU